rnacentral:rRNA from 1 species
UACGUAGGGCGCAAGCGUUUGUCCGGAAUUAUUGGGCGUAAGAGCUCGUAGGCGGCCUGUUGCGUCCGCUGUGAAAUCCCGGGGCUUAACCCCGGGCCUGCAGUGGAUACGGGCAGGCUGGAGGCAGGCAGGGGAGAACGGAAUUCCCGGUGUGAGCGGUGAAAUGCGCAGAUAUCGGGAGGAACGACCGGUGGCGAAGGCGGUUCUCUGGGCCUGUACUGACGCUGAGGAGCGAAAGCGUGGGGAGCGAACAGG